rnacentral:ncRNA from 1 species
CAGUUUCACUCCACUCUAUGGACUGCGCAAAGAACAAAGGAGGGUGAUUCCAGCCGCGUGGCUUGCGGUGCGGCAGUGUGGAGACCUGUCGUAAUGCACCGGGUCCCCUGCGGGCGGGUGCGAGGCAAAUGCGGGUGGGCCGCUUUGCCAGAGCCAAGAGUAUG